GCUUGAACCCACGAGUGGGAGUGGGAGGUUGCAGUGAGCCAAGAUUGCACUACUGCACUCCAGCCUGGGUGACAGACAAAUUUAUAAGAGAGAAAAGAGAAGUCUCAAAUUACAAUGUACAAAUUACAGAAGUAAUCGCUACAGAUUACACAGAUAUUAAAAAUAUAAUAAAGAAAUAUUAUGACCAGUUAUAUGAUAAUAAACACCACAAUUGAGAUGAAAGUGACAAAAUUCCUGAAGAACACAAAGCUUGCUCAGAAAAAAGAGAUGAUCUGAAUAUUCCUAUAUUAAUUUAAAAAUAGAUUUCAUAGUUUAAAAUUUUUCCACAAAGACAAGUCCAAGGAGAUAUAGCCUCACUAGUGAAUACUACAAACCAUUUUAAUAAAGAAAUAAUAUCAAUUCUACUCAAACUCUUUCAGAAAAUUGAAAAGGAGUCUCUCCUUUUCAAUUUAUGAGGCCAGCAUUAUCUUGAUACCAAAACCAGAAAAAGACAUUUCAGAAAGAAAAACUGCAAACCAAUAUUCUUGAUGAAUAUAAGUGCAAAAAUUCUGAACAGAUUUUUAUCAAAUUGAGUCCAACAGUAUAUAUAGGCUAACAAACACAUCAUUACUAAGUGGAGUUUACUUUGAGGCAUGCAGCAUUGAUUUAACAUUAGAAAAUGAAUCAAUGCAAUUUCCUAUAUUAACAAACGAAAAAGGAAAACAUAAUCAUCUCAGUAGAUGUAGAAAAAGCAUUGACAAGUUCCAAUAUCAAUUCCUGAUUUUUAAAAACUCUCAGCAAACUAGGAAUAGGAGGGAAUUUCCGCAACCCGGUUAAAGGACAUUUACCAAAAACUUACAGUUGCAUCAUACAUAACUGAGAGACUGAAUGUUUUCCCUUAAAAUCAGGAAGAAGACAAAGAUGACUGCAAUUACUGCUUCCAUUCCACAUUGUACUAGAAGUCUGGCCAGCGAUUUAAGGUAAGAAAGAGAAACAAAAGGCAGCUAUAUUGAAAGAGAAGAAGUAACACUGACUUACUUCAAAGGCAACAUAAUUAUUUAUCUAGAAAAUCAGAUGAAAUUUGAUCUAGUAAAAACACUACUAUAACUAAGAACCUGUUGGCCAGUAUACAAGAUACUAUCUCAGUAUACAAAAUUAAUUUUGCUUCUGUGUAGUAGAAACAAUCAGAGACUAAAAUAAAAGGUAUAGUUUAUAAUAGGAUAAAAAUAUGAAACCUUUAGGAAUAAAUUUGACAAAAUUAUGCAAAACCUGUACAUUGAAAACUACUAAUGGCGUCCAGGAAAUGCUACCCCCAAAUAUGGCAUCUUGUCACUUCAGAAAGUAAUAAAACCUAGGAGGAUCACUCUCUGACCUUCUCCAGCUCUUCUCCCCUGAAGCAAGUCAUAAGGUCUUCAUUCAAGAGGAAAGAAAAAUCCUUACUCUGAAGACACGGAAACACAGAGAAGACUGAACAAACUGGCCUUUCUAAGUUCCCCCAAGUUUAUUACUAUUAGAUCACACCCUCAUUGUCCAAUAAUAUUUCUCCUCUGCUAUCCACUUCUUCAUCAAACUUAGCAUAAAAUCCUCUUUCUUUGAUUCUUCAUUUCUGAAAGCUCCUAUGUUAUAUAAAACUUAUAUUAAGUAAAUUUGUAUGCUUUUACCUUCUUAAUGUGUCUUUUGUUUUAAGGGCCUUAGCCAUGAACCUAGUGAUGGGUGAGGAAAAGCUGUUUCUUUUUGCCCAUCCUACAAACUAUUCCUGAGAGAAAUUUAAAAGGACUUAACUAAGUAGAGAUACAUGCCUUAUUCAUGUGUUGGAAGACUCAAUAUUUCUAACAUGUCAGUUGUCCAAAUAAUGGAAUUCAAAUAAAAAUUUCAGUAGGUUAUUUUGUAAAAAUUGGCAACCAGACUUUAAAAUUCAUAUGGAAAUGUAAGGGACCUAGAUUAGCCAAAACAAAACCAAAGUUGAAAACAAGAAUGAAGAUGGUGAACUAACACUACUUGAUUUCAAAUUAUUAUAAAGCUAUAGUAAUCACGGCAGUAUUAUAUUGCAUAAAUAUAGAGAAACAGAUCAGAAUAGGGAGCUCAGAAAUAGACUCACAAAUAUAUGAACAAGUGAUUUUUGAUGAAGGCACAAGAGCAAUUCAGUGGAGAAAAGUCU
rnacentral:lncRNA from 10 species